UUCGCUGAAACAAACGUCGUCGUUUGGUUAGCUCCGCUCGUCGUUUUAAACAAGAUAUCAGAAAAAGUGAAUCAGCGAAGGAUUCUUCUUUCUAUUUGAGUUUACUUUUUCUUUUCUUUGAAAGUAACAGAUUGAAGAAAAUGUUGGAGAAGAUCGGUUUACCUUCAAAACCAUCACUCAGAGGGAAUAAUUGGGUAGUUGAUGCUUCUCAUUGCCAAGGAUGUUCUUCUCAGUUCACUUUCAUCAAUCGCAAGGUUUAGUUCCACAGCAGAAUGUCUCUAACUUUGUACCUUACUCCAGUAUGUUUGAGGUGUUUAAUAUUGCCGAAGGACUCUUGUGAACAUUAUUCUCGACAAAAUGAUCUUAUGUUGAAUUCCAAGUGUACAGCUGAUCCUCCCAAAUAUUAUUCCUGAAUAGCGUUGCAAUCAGAGUACUUUUGCGAUAAACAGGUUUAUUGAGAGAAAAGAGAUAUAUUGGGAAAGAUACGGGGCGAAUUUAUAUUUUAGGCUUAGUGGCAAGACUGAAAUGCUCGCUUACAAUAGAUUUCUGAAUUCUUUUACUUGGAUUUGUGUUGAACUUUGGAUGUGAACAAGCUUGCUCAGUACAUCUUUAUCUUUGUUCCAGCUCCACCAAUUCGCAAGAAAAAGAUAAUAGUAUAUGCAGUAUGAUACUGCUUCCAUUGUACUCCACCAUCUGUUGAGGAUGCAUUAUACAAGAAAAUAAGCUCGACAAAAAAUCUGAUACCUUCAGAGGUAGUAAAGUCACCAAGAGAAAGUUUAAGCAAACCCAAUAGCUCAUCAUUCUCCUAUUUCAUGGGAAUAUGAACCUCUUUCUGCAACGAAUUGGGAGCAAGAAAUUACAAUCUCACAUAUUUUAUUGUACUUUAACUAUGGCUGUGGAUGUCUUUAGUAGAUUUCUAGAUUUCCUCUAGACCAGCUCAAUUGGCUGAUGCUAUUAACUUUUCUCCACCUCCUCAUCUAGAUAAUGCAUGUCAUUUUGACCCAAGUGCUUAGUGACGCAUCUUGCAGAGAACUCUAUUGUGUUCCAAAUAUAGAGGAAUCACCUGACUUUCCACUUUAGUGGGUGCUAUUUCAAGCUGGUCCUCCUUCAGUACAAAAGCCAAUUUUCUAGAGUUGAAAGGGUGUGCAGUAUAGGCAAUAUAUUCAUCAGAAAA